UUUGUGCAUAUGUGGUUCUUACUUACCUAGUUUGACUUAGAUUGUGCAUGAAAUUAAUUUGGUGUAUGGUUUAGACAUGAGACCAAUUGGGAUCCCUUUGUAAUUGAAAUAUCUUGAUUUUGAUCAUGAUUUACUUGCUGUUUUAGGAUUUUUCCAUCCUUUGGACCCUAGGCUUGGCCUAGUGGUCUUGUUACUUAUGUUUGA
rnacentral:lncRNA from 1 species